AUCCAGCUGAAGAGUCCAAAAUAAAACGAGACGCGUGUCUUGGAU
rfam:Schistosoma rodhaini strain Burundi genome assembly, scaffold: SROB_scaffold0001218